AUACGGAGGGUGCAAGCGUUACUCGGAACCACUGGGCGUAAAGCGCGCGCAGGCGGCUUGGUAAGUUGGAUGUGAAAGCCUACGGCUCAACCGUAGAACUGCAUCCAAAACUGUCAAGCUAGAGUGUGGGAGAGGAAGAUGGAAUUAGUUGUGUAGGGGUAAAAUCCGUAGAGAUAACUAGGAAUACCAAAAGCGAAGGCAAUCUUCUGGAACACUACUGACGCUGAGGCGCGAAAGCGUGGGGAGCAAACAGAAUUAGAUACCCUAGUAGUCC
rnacentral:rRNA from 1 species